rnacentral:rRNA from 1 species
GAGUUUGAUCAUGGCUCAGAUUGAACGCUGGCGGCAGGCUUAACACAUGCAAGUCGAACGAUGAUUACUAGCUUGCUAGUAUGAUUAGUGGCGAACGGGUGAGUAAUGCUUAGGAAUCUGCCUAUUAGUGGGGGACAACAUUCCGAAAGGAAUGCUAAUACCGCAUACGUCCUACGGGAGAAAGCAGGGGAUCUUUUGACCUUGCGCUAAUAGAUGAGCCUAAGUCGGAUUAGCUAGUUGGUGGGGUAAAGGCCUACCAAGGCGACGAUCUGUAGCUGGUCUGAGAGGAUGAUCAGCCACACUGGGACUGAGACACGGCCCAGACUCCUACGGGAGGCAGCAGUGGGGAAUAUUGGACAAUGGGCGAAAGCCUGAUCCAGCCAUGCCGCGUGUGUGAAGAAGGCCUUUUGGUUGUAAAGCACUUUAAGUGGGGAGGAAAAGCUAAUAAUUAAUACCUAUAGGCCCUGACNUACCCCNGA